AUGAAUCUGCACGGCGGGUCCUCCCAGUCCUCUGCAAACACGGCCUCCCGCGAACGCUCCAACAAGCAGAACAACAGCAACGGCGGUGGCGGUGGUGACCGCGGUCGCAACUUCCCCAGGCAAGGCGGUGGCGGCGGCGGCGGUGGUGACCGCGGCCGCGGCAACUUCAACAAGCAGCCGAACCGCGGCAACAUGGGGGGCAACAACGGUGGUGGCGGCGGGAACUACAACAACAAUCCCGCUGCCAAGGUUGCUUGUCAGAUCUGCGGCAAGCUCGGGCAUCCAGCAUGGAAGUGCUGGAAGCGCUAUGACUCCUCCUAUCAAGGAGGGGAAGAGCGCUCGGUGAACGUGGCGACGGCUCCCCAGUACGGCAUGGACACGAACUGGUAUAUGGACAGCGGAGCCACUGACCAUAUCACCAGCGACUUGGAGAAGCUGACCGUCCGGGAGAGGUACACCGGCGGCGAACAAAUCCACACCGCAAAUGGAUCAGGAUCUGGAAACGAGGAGGGUCCUUCUUCGAGGCAGGGGUAG
rnacentral:rRNA from 1 species